AUACGGAGGGGGCUAGCGUUGUUCGGAAUUACUGGGCGUAAAGCGUACGUAGGCGGACUGAUCAGUUGGGGGCGAAAUCCCAGGGCUUAACCCUGGAACUGCCUUCAAUACUGUCAGUCUUGAGAUUGGAAGAGGUGAGUGGAAUUCCUAGUGUAGAGGUGAAAUGAAUAGAUAUUAGGAGGAACACCAGUGGCGAAGGCGGCUCACUGGUCCAAUACUGACGCUGAGGUACGAAAGCGUGGGGAGCAAACAGGAUUAGAAACCCUAGUAGUCC
rnacentral:rRNA from 1 species